rnacentral:lncRNA from 1 species
GUCUCAACUGCACCUGCCCCAAACUGCAUGUAGACAAAAACAGAAGAUGGUUUUGGAAUGCCUCUCCUCAAGAGGAAGAUCAUUAGCAUAUUCAUCUGGAUACUGCAAACACUUUCAAGUAUCAUAACUCAGCUGCCAUACAGAUUAUCUAAUUAUACAGCAUUCACCUAUAAAGAAAAAUACCUCAGAUAUGAGAACUAUAUUAAUAAAGGCAACAAUUCACAGUCUGAUUCGAACUUUAUAUAUAAUUUGCAGAGACGGAAGUAAAAACAUACUCAAACCUUUGGAAAUUCAAAAACAAAGCCCCUUGCAAACAACACCUUCAAUUCAAGAUAGCAAUGCUCAAUCUGCCACCUGU